CGGCCGCAAAGGGCGGGGGAGCCCGGGCUGGGUGCAGGCGGCGCCGCCUCGCCCCUGGGGGGCCCGGGCCAGCGCCGGCUCUGCCCGUAUCGCCGGGGAGGCUGAUGGGCCGGGGGUGCCCCGCGCUGUGAUGCUCUGCGCGGGGUCCCCCCAGGCACUGGGCACCCCCACGUGGGCCUUCCCCCGCCAGGGCUGGAGGGAGAAGAAGCGCUGCGGUGUGUCCCUGCUGCUCGCUCCCCUGGCUCUGGGGGUCUGAUAGGCUUGGGGCGCCCGGCGCUCCCUUCCCUGCGACUGGGAGUAAAGCGAGCGGCGCUGCCCUCUGCCCACCCCGCGGCUGCUGGGACGGAAGUGGGGUCGGGGGCUUCUUCUCCCUUGUCUGAGCAGCAGAUUUUUCCCUCCCAGUGGAACCGCAAGCAUUGGCAGUAAGGAUGGAGGUUUUUUUUUCCUUUAAAGGGCCAAUUUUGAAGAACAGUAAAAUUAACAAAGGAGGCUGAAAGCGACGGAAACAUGAGGAUUUCGAUAGAAAUGUACCAUCAUACAUACACUGUAUUGCCCUGACGAAUUCCAUAGGCUUAAAGCAGCAAGAGCGGUUCCACAGCUUUUGUUUGGGGUGUUUUGGGGCUUUUGUUACUGCCUUGCACUGUUAACAAAGCAAAGGGGGAAAAAAAGCAACAUAUUAUAAGUGCAUCUAUUGGGGAAACUGAGGCACAUAAAAUCCUCUAAGCCUUUAGUUAUUUUGCUAUGGCUUGUUUGGGCUUUUAUUAUGGAUGUUCUUUGCCUGGUUUAGGAGGUUGUAACAACAAUAUUUUGUUUAGGGAUUAGGGGUGGCUAUUGCUUGCCAAGGGGCCUUCCAUUUUGCCUUAGGCUUUUAUUUUGCUUCAGGCCACCACAGGGGGAACAGAGUUUGUCCCUCUGGGGAUGCAUGGAAGGUCCGGGGCCACCCACCAUGUAUUUCUCUGUGGCCCUAGGGUGUUUAUUUGGACUAUGCAUUGUUCCCAUGGCCCCUCCCCUCCAGCCUUGCGCCAUACUGUGGCUUGAGCCCCAUUGGUGGCUCGAACCAUGGAGAGCCUUUGGAAGUACUUUUUUGUUUGUUUUGUAAUUCAAAUAAUUCCAUGGAUAGAUGGAAAUCUGGAUGGUUCAGGCAGGUGGCUGGUUCACAACUGAGGCCCACGACGUUAUGAUUAGAAACCGAGAAAGAAGCAUAGGUUUUAAGCUGGUUGGCAUGUGCCCAUUUUAAUUUACUGGGUAGCUGCAGCUGGUAAACUACCAGAGAAAUGCAGUUUACCAUGGGGUACGGGCCCAUCCACUUAACAUUUAAGGUAUGGGCCGCUCUCCCCAGUUUUUGUAACAUUACCUUAUUUUUGACUUGCCACCCCCGGUCGUUUUUUUUUUUGAAGGUUUUUUUGCAUCUGGCCUUUGUUUGUUUGUUUGUUUAGA